rnacentral:rRNA from 1 species
CACGUAGGGACCAAGCGUUGUCCGGAUUCAUUGGGCGUAAAGAGCUCGUAGGCGGUUCAGUAAGUCGGGUGUGAAACCUCCAGGCUCAACCUGGAGACGCCACCCGAUACUGCUGUGACUAGAGUCCAGUAGGGGAGCGUGGAAUUCCUGGUGUAGCGGUGAAAUGCGCAGAUAUCGGGAAGAACACCCGUGGCGAAGGCGGCUCUCUGGGACGGUACUGACGCUGAGACGCGAAAGCGUGGGGAGCGAACAGG